AGAGAAGGAAGAUAAGAGGAGUGGAUGAGAGUGAGGAGUAAAGUGAAAAAAAAAAAAAAUUACAAACUAAAACCUAUUUGAAAUUGUUUUCACUUUUGUUACUCAUCCCUCCCAUCAUCACCUCUCAAUCUCAUCCUUUU
rnacentral:miRNA from 1 species